rnacentral:rRNA from 1 species
GAGUUUGAUCCUGGCUCAGGACGAACGCUGGCGGCACGCCUAACACAUGCAAGUCGAACGGAGAUAUUUUGGUUUACUGAGAUAUCUUAGUGGCGGACGGGUGAGUAACACGUGAGCAACCUGCCUCUGAGAGAGGGAUAGCUUCUGGAAACGGAUGGUAAUACCUCAUAACAUAACGAAGCCGCAUGACUUUGUUAUCAAAGAUUUAUCACUCAGAGAUGGGCUCGCGUCUGAUUAGAUAGUUGGUGAGGUAACGGCUCACCAAGUCGACGAUCAGUAGCCGGACUGAGAGGUUGAACGGCCACAUUGGGACUGAGACACGGCCCAGACUCCUACGGGAGGCAGCAGUGGGGAAUAUUGCACAAUGGGGGAAACCCUGAUGCAGCGAUGCCGCGUGGAGGAAGAAGGUUUUCGGACUGUAAMCUCCUGUCUUAAAGGACGAUAAUGACGGWACUUUARGAGGAAGYUCCGGCUAACUACGUGCCAGCAGCCGCGG